GAACCUGUGAUCUUUCGCUGUAAGACAACGUAGGAGGAGGUUUUUCGCAUUUUAAUACGACCUUGCUGGAAAAUGUCAUGAGAGAAAGGAUUCAAAGCAAUAAUUGAAAAGACUAUAAUAGCUCCUGAGGUGCAGUCAAGACCAACUGUAAUACCGUUCCUUUUUUUUUCCGGACCUUGAUGGCAGCCAGCCUGAAAGGACAGAGGUUUAAUGGGUCAAACACAAAAAGCGAGUCCGAUGCUUUGGCUUUACGCGUGGAUUGUUUAGGGAAGUAGCUUUGAGAGUCCCAAAGAGUGUGCAGAUGCAUUCGCCUACACCUUUCAAAAAUAAGGGGUAUGCUGAAGGGCCUCUUGUGAGCCUGAUUGUGUGCUACACGGAUAAUGCUGUUUUGUUCCAGUGAGAUUGGGUCACGAGUCAUACCGGACUCGCGAGAUUAUGAGUUGCCAUUGCGUUGCGGGCCUUUAUUGUAGUUGUGUUCCUAUUAUUUUAUACCCAUUGAUUACAUUUUUUGGGUUUAUGCAAAAGAUUAGGUUUACGCCGACAGACUUGCAAGUAUAGAGGAAAGAGAGGUUAAUACUCAAACAGUGAUCGAGUCAAUCAAUCAUGACAUGCUUCUUCAAAUGUUUACAAGCUUCUCUUGCUCGUUCAAAGCUUGGAAGGCUACUCGUGCGUUCAGACAUAAACUGGAAGUGCACAGUAUAAGUAAGACAAAACGAAACUCGGCUCCGUUUGAAGGCUUCUUUAUAUUUGUGUGUAAACAAGUUGGCACAAAGGAACCAGAAGCUUGAAGUUCAAGGAAAUCUCAGCCCAUGAAUCGGCAUAUGCUUUAGGGAUAAGCUUUUAGGAAGCUGAGUCGAAGACCGAGUACGCGUCUGCGCCGAAUCCAGGAAGCACAGUCCACUCAUAUGAACUUCGCGAAGUUCUCGUCCAAUCCCCGCCAACACUCGAUCCGCGAUUUGGAUUUCUGUUUUAGAUAGACCUUACUUCAACAAGUAGCCGGCAAGGCAAAAAUAUGCUGGACUCCAACGCUUCCUCAUCCAGGCUUCCCUCAUCCAGACCGUCUUUGCGUGGUCCGCGUUGAAGCGUCUCAUUGGAAAUCUGCUGACGGAAUAGGCGAUGUCGCCAUUUUGAUCUGCCAACAAAUCUGCAACGAUAAUUUGUGGAGUGAGACUGACAUAGCGGUAGAGAUGCCACUAUUAUUAUCGUAUGUGAUUUACUGUACACAGCAUUGGACAUGGCUCAAUUUCUCAUAGGGUUUCUCUCGAAAAUGGAAAUCUAUUGCAUCCGUUCG